GUGUCAGCCGCCGCGGUAAUACGUAGGUGACGAGCGUUAUCCGGAAUUACUGGGCGUAAAGCGCACGCAGGCGGCCUGUUAAGUUUGGCGUGAAAUCUCUCGGCUUAACUGGGAGGGAGCGUUGAAGACUGGCGGGCUUGAGACAGCGAGAGGGGUGUGGAAUUCCCGGUGUAGUGGUGGAAUGCGUAGAGAUCGGGAGGAACACCAGAGGCGAAAGCGACACCCUGGCGCUGGACUGACGCUCAGGUGCGAAAGCGUGGGGAGCGAACGGGAUUAGAAACCCCGGUAGUCC
rnacentral:rRNA from 1 species